CUGUCUUAGUGGCGGACGGGUGAGUAACGCGUGGGCAACCUGCCCUGUACCGGGGGAUAACACUUAGAAAUAGGUGCUAAUACCGCAUAAUAGGGAAUACCGCAUGGUAAUCCUUUGAAAACUCCGGUGGUACAGGAUGGGCCCGCGUCUGAUUAGCCAGUUGGCGGGGUAACGGCCCACCAAAGCGACGAUCAGCAGCCGGCCUGAGAGGGCGGACGGCCACACUGGGACUGAGACACGGCCCAGACUCCUACGGAAGGCAGCAG
rnacentral:rRNA from 1 species